AGAAGGCUGAUGUGUGUGAGAUACCCGCUGAAUUUAAGCAUAUAAGUAAGCGGAGGAAAAGAAACUAACUAGGAUUCCUUAGUAAUGGCGAAUGAACAGGGAUCAGCUCAGUGCCAAAUCGGAAUCACUUGUGGUUCUGAAAUGUGGCUUGAAGGCAGUACCAGUGGCAUCGCGGACGAAAGUCUCUUGGAAAAGAGCGUCAUAGAGGGUGAGAAUCCCGUGAGUCGUUCGCCGUUUGUCACGUACGGUCUGCGUUCUAACGAGUCGCGUUCCUUGGGAUUGGAGCGUAAACGGGUGGUAAAUUUCAUCCAAAGCAAAAUAUAUACUCGAGACCGAUAGCACAAAAGUACCGUGAGGGAAAGGUGAAAAGAACUUUGAGAAGAGGGUUAAAUAGUGCCUGAAAUCGUUGAGAAGGAAGCGGAUGCCGCCGUUGCAUAUGCUGAUUGUAGGAUUGCUGCUCGCUCCUGUCUUCUGCUACUCAUUCACAGACCUGGUCGUGUUGAGCAGUUGUUUGGCAGAUGUUAGUGGUGUUUCCUACUCUCAGUCGUCAGCAUCACUGGCUGAGUGGAAAUAAUCCUUGGAUGCUAAUUGGUUCGCUAUCUGUGAAUUGGUUGCUUCCUUGCGAUACUCACUACUCGGUCAGUGAGGAAGUGCGUUUGCUGGUCAACGAGCUUUCUAACUGUCAUUACCCUGCGCUUUUCGAUUCGUCGAGUGGCCAGGAUGUGGCUUUGAGAUUGUUCGCACUUAGUAAUCGCGAUGCUGGCUUCCAACGGUUGCCUCCGGCCCGUCUUGAAACACGGACCAAGGAGUCUAACGUAUGUGCGAGUGUGUGAGUGGCAAACUUAUACGCGUAAUGAAAGUGAGGCCGUAUGGCCAUGUUGGGGUCACCAACAACCGACCUUGAUCUUCGGUGAAAGGUUUGAGUAUGAGCAUAUCCGUUAGGACCCGAAA
rnacentral:ncRNA from 1 species